rnacentral:lncRNA from 1 species
AUCUUGUCUCGCCAAAGUUCUCUUCAAACCUAAUAUCCAAAAUCACUAUUUUAUUGAACUAAAUCCUAAUUAUUUCAAAAUAAAAUACUAAAUCUUCUUAGGCUAGCUAUCUAUUGAUCGAUGGUCAAGAUUCUUUUCUUAAGAUCUCAAGGUUAUUAGGGGUUUUCAAACCGAAGGGAGAGGGAAAAGAAAGACAAAAUCCAAUGUUUUAGAGAG